rnacentral:rRNA from 1 species
UACGAAGGGGGCGAGCGUUGUUCGGAAUUACUGGGCGUAAAGGGCGCGCAGGCGGCUCUGAAAGUCAGAUGUGAAAGCCCCGGGCUUAACCUGGGAAUUGCAUUUGAUACUCUGGAGCUUGAGUGUGGGAGAGGAGAGUGGAAUUCCCAGUGUAGAGGUGAAAUUCGUAGAUAUUGGGAAGAACACCGGUGGCGAUGGCGGCUCUCUGGACCACAACUGACGCUGAGGCGCGAAAGCGUGGGGAGCAAACAGG